rnacentral:misc_RNA from 1 species
UGGUGAACCAGCGGAGGGAUCAUUCCCGAGUUUACAACUCCCAAACCCCUGUGAACAUACCUAUUUGUCGCCUCGGCGGUGCCUGUUCCGACAGCCCGCCAGAGGACCCCAAACCCUGAUUACAUUUAAGAAGUCUUCUGAGUAAACCGAUUAAAUAAAUCAAAACUUUCAACAACGGAUCUCUUGGUUCUGG